CCGGAGGAAGGCGAGCGGGUAGUCUUCCGCUCGCACUUCCUGCGCGGCCUCGGCUUGCCGGCGAGCGCUUUCUUCCACUCCUUCCUCGACUUCUAUCAACUCCAACCGCACCACCUCACUCCGAACACGGUGGUGCUGCUGUCCGCCUACGUCACCUUGUGCGAAGGCUUCCUUGGCGUUCUCCCCACCCUCGAGCUCUGGGGGAGUUCUUCCAAUCUAAGCUGGGCACCCGCAUGCAGGGCGUGCCGGCCCAGAGCGGCGCCUUCAUCGCGAUGCGGAGGCCGGCGGCCGACAACCCCUUCCCCGUCAUCACGUUAA
rnacentral:rRNA from 1 species